rnacentral:rRNA from 1 species
AUUGAACGCUGGCGGCAGGCCUAACACAUGCAAGUCGAACGAGUGGCGGACGGGUGAGUAAUGUCUGGGAAACUGCCUGAUGGAGGGGGAUAACUACUGGAAACGGUAGCUAAUACCGCAUACCAUCGGAUGUGCCCAGAUGGGAUUAGCUCGUAGGUGGGGUAAAGGCUCACCUAGGCGACGAUCCCUAGCUGGUCUGAGAGGAUGACCAGACACACUGGAACUGAGAAACGGUCCAGACUACUACGGGAGGCAGCAGUGGGGAAUAUUGGAAAAUGGGUGCAAGCCUGAUUCAGCCAUGCCGCGUGUAUGAAGAAGGCCUUCGGGUUGUAAAGUACUGUCAGCGGGGAGGCGUUACCCGCAGAAGAAGCACCGGCUAACUCCGUGCAAGCAGCCGCGGUAAUAC